AUUCAAAUAGCUUAUAGUAAGAGUAUAACAUUGAAGAUGUUAGGGAGAUAAAUUUAUCUUUGAAUA
rnacentral:tRNA from 1 species